AGUGAACGCUGGCGGUAGGCCUAACACAUGCAAGUCGAACGGCAGCACAGUAAGAGCUUGCUCUUACGGGUGGCGAGUGGCGGACGGGUGAGGAAUACAUCGGAAUCUACUUUUUCGUGGGGGAUAACGUAGGGAAACUUACGCUAAUACCGCAUACGACCUACGGGUGAAAGCAGGGGAUCUUCGGACCUUGCGCGAUUGAAUGAGCCGAUGUCGGAUUAGCUAGUUGGCGGGGUAAAGGCCCACCAAGGCGACGAUCCGUAGCUGGUCUGAGAGGAUGAUCAGCCACACUGGAACUGAGACACGGUCCAGACUCCUAAGGGAGGCAGCAGUGGGGAAUAUUGGACAAUGGGCGCAAGCCUGAUCCAGCCAUACCGCGUGGGUGAAGAAGGCCUUCGGGUUGUAAAGCCCUUUUGUUGGGAAAGAAAAGCAGCAGGUUAAUACCCCGCUGUUCUGAAGGUACCCAAAGAAUAAGCACCGGCUAACUUCGUG
rnacentral:rRNA from 1 species